AAGGGUGGCAGCAAAAGAAGAAAAAGAAAGCUGUGGACCGAAAAGGAGACGGAGGAUAGGGUGUUCUUUUUUAGAAAGCAGGGAAGAGAGAGAGAGAGAGAGGAGAUGGAAGCGCAUGCGUUUCCGAUAUCUCUUACUUACUGUCUCGAAUUCGCUUGGUGCAGGUCGGGAAUGAUGCGAUGCGCCCUCUAUUUUCCCCUUUCAUUUCUAGCCGCAUCUGAUCCCGCCUUGCAUCAAGUGAAUCGGAGACGGCAGUAAAGGUUGCAAGAUUAGGGUUUUUCUGCUGCAUCAUUUCCCUCUCAACCAAGCAAGGUAUGGCAUUUGGAGCGUUUGUGCCAUAUGGAUCUUGAUGAAUCUUUUAUCUCUCGGCUUCCAUUUCUUUUUCUUUCUGGAGGUUCAUAAAUGCUGGAUCUUGCUUCGAAUCUGAAGAAUUGGAUCUUCAUUUUGUGAUGGUUUGGCUCUGUCUCAAGCACUUGUUAGCGAGUCUUUAACAUUUCCUUUCUGUUCGAAUUUAUAUUGGCAGUUUGAAGACUACGAGAAGGGGUCGUUGUUCAUGAGUUGAGCUCUUGAUGGUGUUGGUGCUUGUUUUAGAUCUGUAUAUUAGUUCGAAAAAUUAGAUUUUCUCGACUUCAAGUUUAGAUCUCACUUCAGUCUUCUUUCAUUGGGAUUGUGUAUUGUCUUCGUUCUCUUUUAUUUUGGAUUUGCUUGUGAUGAUUUUUGCUUCUUUCAUUCUCUAGAGAUAUGAUGAACAGUUAAUCAUGCACUAUUUGCCAUCUUUUUUGUUAGCAAGGGGACUUCAGUAGUUCUUUGAGGAUCCCCUCUGUUAUAAUUGUUAUUAUUAUUUUUUAUAUUUUAUGCUGUCCA